CGCCUUUUGAUUAUUAUAAAAGGUAAUGCCUGCCCAGUGACUAGUUGUUCAACGGCCGCGGUAUUUUGACCGUGCAAAGGUAGCGUAAUCACUUGUCUUUUAAAUAAAGACUAGUAUGAAUGGCAUCACGAGAACCAAUCUGUCUCCCCUCCCUAAUCAGUGAACCUGAUCUCUCCGUGCAGAAGCGGAGAUAAUAACAUAAGACGAGAAGACCCUGUGGAGCUUCAAAUCAAAGAUCAACUGCCUUACAUUUAUUCCCACACUUAUGCAUACCUGAUUUAGAUUUUCAGCUGGGGCGUCUGUGGAGAAAAAAAAAUCCUCCAUGAAUUAUCAUAUUAAGGGCAACCGCCCUAAACAUUAAUUUACUUAAUUAAAAUUGACCCAAAUUUUUUUUGAUCAACGGACCAAGUUACCCCAGGGAUAACAGCGCAAUCCACUUAUAGAGUCCCUAUCGACAAGUGGGUUUACGACCUCGAUGUUGGAUCAGGGCACCCCAGCGGUGUAGCCGCUGCUAAAGGUUCGUUUGUUCAACGAUUAAAGCCCU
rnacentral:rRNA from 1 species